AAACUAGGAUUAGAUACCCUUUUAUUAUUUUUUAAGGUAUUAAAAGAUUUUCUUUAAACCUAAUGAUUCUGGCGGUUUUCUUUCUUUUCAGAGGGGCUUGUUUAUUGAUCGAUAGUCCUCGUUUAUUUUUUCUCUUUUUUUUAGUUUGUAUACCUCCGUUUGAAGAUGAAUAUUAAUUUUUCUUUCUUUUUAAAUUUUUAUUUAAUUCAGGUCAAGGUUCAAUUUAUGAUUUAGAUUAAAUUAGCCAUAUAUUUUUAUUCUUUUUUUGAUUGAAUUUUUAGGAUUUGUUUGUAAAAUUAAGGUAACUUUUUACUUUGAAUUAGUUAAAGAAGAUGUACAUAUCGCCCGUCACUCUUUAGAAGAUAAGUCGUAACAUAGUA
rnacentral:rRNA from 1 species